UUGCCCAGAGCCAUCCUAAAACCAUAGGUUUUUGCUUUUUAUCCAAAAAAACAAGCCCUUUCUUUUCUUUUUGUUUUUCAAAACACCCUUAGUUAGAAUUUCUAUGCUUCAUUUCUCUCUUCAAAAUUCCUGUUUCAAGCUAAAAAUAUAGGAACCUACCCUUAGCCUUGUUAGCUUGGUUGUUGGAGAUUUUCGAUGAAUGAUUUUCUUGUUGAUAUUGCUUGACUUCU
rnacentral:lncRNA from 1 species